GACUCUUCUGUUGCUUCCACCUCUACCUCUGGAGUGCUAGGACUACAGGUGUUGGCCACCAAACCUGUUUUAUAUGGUGCUGGGAUGGGACCCAGGGCUCAUGGGAUGGGACCUAUGCAUGCUAGGCAAGCACUCACUCCUCCAAUGAAGCAAACCCCAACCUCUGCGUUUCCAUUUCUACUGUACCUCAGAAAAAUAAGUGGUCAACACAAUACACAGAGGAACAAGGUGAAGAAGCAGGUUCGGGGCCCUCGGAGACUCCUGUCUAGAGAGGAGACUUGCUGGACAGCAUCUCUCUCUGGCCUGGAACUGGUUAAGUAGGCUCAGGUAGGGGCCAUGGAGCUCCAGGGAUCCACCUGUCUGCUUCCCCAGUUAGGAUUACAAGUUAAGUUCUACCACACCCUGGU
rnacentral:lncRNA from 1 species